UGGCUGGAAGAAACUGAAGGAAGUAUUUAGUAUGGCUGGUGUGGUGGUCCGAGCAGACAUUCUUGAAGAUAAAGAUGGAAAAAGUCGUGGAAUAGGCACUGUUACUUUUGAACAGUCCAUUGAAGCUGUGCAAGCUAUAUGUAUCCUUCUGCAGGAAUUCAACUUAUGAACAGUUUGACCUAAAUUGCUGUGUUAGUAAUGUAGGUUUGUGUGAGGAAGAGGUGACUGUGUGUAUUCAUGUUUUUUAUGUGACUAGGGGGAGUGCAUUACUGUGGAAUUAAGAGGUUCUCUGGGCCGGACCGGUCACGGUGGCUCACGCCUGUAAUCCCAGCACUUCGGGAGGCCAAGGCGGGCGGAUCACUUGAGAAUUGCAAGAAAUAGCCUUAAUUGUAAUACCAGCUAUGUUCAAUGGCCAGCUGCUAUUUGAUAGACCAAUGCACGUCAAGAUGGAUGAGAGGGCCUUACCAAAAGGAGAUUUCUUCCCUCCUGAGCGUCCACAACAACUUCCCCAUGGCCUUGGUGGUAUUGGCAUGGGGUUAGGACCAGGAGGGCAACCCAUUGAUGCCAAUCACCUGAAUAAAGGCAUCGGAAUGGG
rnacentral:lncRNA from 1 species